GCCGUGUAGGACAGCCUCCACCGCCGCCUGACACACCUGCCACUUUCCUGUCCACAAAAGCCCUACGGCCCCGUUCACAGGAUUCACAGUUCUUCCGCACGCUUCAAACAACAGAGAUUGAAACAAAGCUGCAAUACAGCAGAAGUGGAUAUUGACGAGGCGGCUUCCAUUUCAAAGUUGCUAUUCUCCAAGUAGUCUGACGUCAUCGGCAAAAAAUCUUCACUGACAAAGGUAUAUCUGUAUCAUCAUAGGAUGCCAUUAAUUUUCUUUUCAUUUAUUAAAAAAAUAAAAUAAAAUAAUUAUUAUUAUGGUUAAAUGUUAUUUGAAGUGGGUAUGGCAUGCACAUGUAUGUAUGUAUGCAUGCAUGCACAGUUGUUGGGAUUGAAUAUUAUAAUGGUAAUGGAGCAAAAUAUUGUAUGUUUAGUGGGAGAUUAGGAAACACAAUUGUUGUAAGUGGUGGAGGAUCUUAAUUAAAGUAGAUUUCUUUUUUAGUGUAGAAA